rnacentral:rRNA from 1 species
GAUGAACGCUGGCGGCGUGCCUAAUACAUGCAAGUCGAGCGAACAGACUAGGAGCUUGCUCCUCUGACGUUAGCGGCGGACGGGUGAGUAACACGUGGAUAACCUACCUAUAAGACUGGGAUAACUUCGGGAAACCGGCGCUAAUACCGGAUAAUAUAUUUAACCACAUGGUUCAAUAGUGAAAGACGGUUUUGCUGUCACUUAUAGAUGGAUCCGCGCCGCAUUAGCUAGUUGGUAAGGUAACGGCUUACCAAGGCGACGAUGCGUAGCCGACCUGAGAGGGUGAUCGGCCACACUGGAACUGAGACACGGUCAAGACUCCUAAGGGAGGCAGCAGUAGGGAAUCUUCCGCAAUGGGCGAAAGCCUGACGGAGCAACGCCGCGUGAGUGAUGAAGGUCUUCGGAUAGUAAAACUCUGUUAUUAGGGAAGAACAAAUGUGUAAGUAACUAUGCACGUCUUGACGGUACCUAAUCAGAAAGCCACGGCUAACUACGUG